rnacentral:rRNA from 1 species
GAAUCUUGCGCAAUGGCCGAAAGGCUGACGCAGCGACGCCGCGUGCGGGAGGAAGCCCUUCGGGGUGUAAACCGCUGUCAGGGGGGACGAAGGCUCAGGGGAGGCAAUGCCCCUGAGAGGGACGGUACCCUCAGAGGAAGCACCGGCUAACUCCGUGCCAGCAGCCGCGGUAAUACGGGGGGUGCGAGCGUUGUUCGGAAUUAUUGGGCGUAAAGCGCACGUAGGCGGCCCGUUAAGUCUCAUGGUGAAAGGCCGGGGCUCAACCCCGAGCAAGCCGGGGAUACUGGGGGGCUGGAGACAGGCAGAGGCCAGCGGAAUUCCGGGUGUAGCGGUGGAAUGCGUAGAGAUCCGGAAGAACACCGGAGGCGAAGGCGGCUGGCUGGGCCUGAUCUGACGCUGAGGUGCGAAAGCGUGGGGAGCGAACAG